rnacentral:rRNA from 1 species
UACGUAGGGUGCAAGCGUUGUCCGGAAUUAUUGGGCGUAAAGAGCUCGUAGGCGGCUUGUCACGUCGACUGUGAAAACCCGGGGCUCAACUCCGGGCCUGCAGUCGAUACGGGCUGGCUUGAGUGCGGUAGGGGAGACUGGAAUUCCUGGUGUAGAGGUGAAAUUCGUAGAUAUCGGGAGGAACACCAGUGGCGAAGGCGGCGACCUGGGCCAAUACUGACGCUGAGGUGCGAAAGCGUGGGGAGCAAACAGG